UGGGGAAUAUUGGACAAUGGGCGAAAGCCUGAUCCAGCCAUGCCGCGUGUGUGAAGAAGGUCUUCGGAUUGUAAAGCACUUUAAGUUGGGAGGAAGGGCAUUAACCUAAUACGUUAGUGUUUUGACGUUACCGACAGAAUAAGCACCGGCUAACUCUGUGCCAGCAGCCGCGGUAAUACAGAGGGUGCAAGCGUUAAUCGGAAUUACUGGGCGUAAAGCGCGCGUAGGUGGUUUGUUAAGUUGGAUGUGAAAUCCCCGGGCUCAACCUGGGAACUGCAUUCAAAACUGACUGACUAGAGUAUGGUAGAGGGUGGUGGAAUUUCCUGUGUAGCGGUGAAAUGCGUAGAUAUAGGAAGGAACACCAGUGGCGAAGGGGACCACCUGGACUAAUACUGACACUGAGGUGCGAAAGCGUGGGGAGCAAACA
rnacentral:rRNA from 1 species